UACGUAGGGGGCGAGCGUUGUCCGGAAUUACUGGGCGUAAAGAGCGCGUAGGCGGCGGUGUAAGUCGUCUGUGAAAGACCCCGGGCUCAACUUGGGGAUUGCAGGCGAAACUAUACUGCUUGAGUACGGUAGAGGGAAGUGGAAUUCCUAGUGUAGCGGUGAAAUGCGCAGAUAUUAGGAGGAACACCAGUGGCGAAGGCGACUUUCUGGGCCGCAACUGACGCUGAGGCGCGAAAGCGUGGGGAGCAAACAGGAUUAGAUACCCGCGUAGU
rnacentral:rRNA from 1 species